ACUGCUAGUGUGUGUGGAGUCGUAAUCAAUACAAACCCUUGGCCUCUAAGUUUCGUUGCCGCUGUUAAAUCUCCCAAAUUCCCAACCAUGUCUAAAAAACAGAGAGAGAAAAGACAGAGAGAGAGAAAUGGCGAUGAGGCAGCUGAACGAAGACGGGAAAGCGGUCAGGGACUCGGUGGUAAAGCUAAAUCCAGAUGGAGAUGAAGCGGCCAGAUCGGAGACGGAGCCGCGGUUCAAGCCUAAACCCGGAAGUGUCUUUCCGAAGAAGAAGAAGUUGGUCAAGCGUAUGAUGCUCGAUCACAUGAUCCAAUCGUGUGCCAGCUUUUGUCCUGCCGGUCGAGUAGCCGACGACGGCGGGUCCUGACUUCGACCUGACACUGAAAUUCAAGAAGCAGAGAAAGACAGAGAUCAGAGAUGUGUUCGUGUGGGGGUCAUAAUCAUAUGCUGAGUGCCGACUCUGACUGUACACGCCGUUAGAUUUGACUGAGUCAGUCAGAUGGAUAGAUUUUUUUUUUUGUUCUUUCUAUUAUUGUAAUAUUACAUUAUUAAAUAAAGUUAAAGCAACUUUUUACUA